GAGCACGUAGGUGGGUUUGUAAGUCAGACGUGAAAGCCUUCUGUUCAACGGAAGAAUUGCAUCUGAAACUACAAACCUUGAGUGUAGGAGGGGAGUAUGGAACUUCUGGUGGAGCGGUGAAAUGCGUAGAUAUCAGAAGGAACGCCGGCGGCAAAAGCGAUUCUCUGGCCUAUUACUGACACUCAGUGUGCGAAAGCUAGGGGAGCAAACGGGAUUAGAUACCCCGGUAGUCCUAGCCGUAAACGAUGGGCACUAAGUAGAGGGGU
rnacentral:rRNA from 1 species